UACGUAGGGCGCGAGCGUUGUCCGGAUUUAUUGGGCGUAAAGAGCUCGUAGGCGGCCUUUUAAGUCUGAUGUGAAAGCCCACGGCUCAACCGUGGAAGGUCAUUGGAAACUGAAAGGCUUGAGUACAGAAGAGGAAAGCGGAAUUCCACGUGUAGCGGUGAAAUGCGUAGAGAUGUGGAGGAACACCAGUGGCGAAGGCGGCUUUCUGGUCUGUAACUGACGCUGAGGCGCGAAAGCGUGGGGAGCAAACAGG
rnacentral:rRNA from 1 species